rnacentral:rRNA from 1 species
CAUGCAAGUCGAACGGUCCUCCUUCGGGAGGAUAGUGGCGGACGGGUGAGUAACACGUAGUUGACCUGCCCAAUAGUGGGGAAUAACUGCCCGAAAGGGUAGCUAAUACCGCAUAAGCUCAUCGGGGUUGCUCGAUGAGGAAACCUUGGUCUUCGGGCCUGGGGCUGUUGGAGGGGACUGCGGCGGAUUAGCUAGAUGGUGGGGUAACGGCCUACCAUGGCGACGAUCCGUAGCUGGUCUGAGAGGACGACCAGCCACACUGGGACUGAGACACGGCCCAGACUCCUACGGGAGGCAGCAGUGAGGAAUAUUCCACAAUGGGCGAAAGCCUGAUGGAGCGACGCCGCGUGAGGGAUGAAGCCUUUUGGGGUGUAAACCUCUUUUUUGGGGGAUGAAACGUGUGGGAGAGAUACCCACACUAAGACAGUACCCCAAGAAUAAGCAUCGGCUAACUACGUGCCAGCAGCCGCGGUAAUACGUAGGAUGCAAGCGUUGUCCGGAUUUACUGGGCGUAAAGCGCGCGCAGGCGGCACUCUAAGUACGUCGUGAAAUAUCCCGGCUCAACCGGGAGGGUGCGAUGUAGACUAGGGAGCUAGAGGUCGGUAGAGGGGGGUGGAAUUGCUGGUGUAGCGGUGAAAUGCGUAGAGAUCAGCAGGAACACCCGUGGCGAAGGCGGCCCCCUGGGCCGAUAAAAACUCCUGUCAAGGGAAACCUUGACGGGUACCUGACGCUGAGGCGCGAAGGCUAGGGGAGCGAACGGGAUUAGAUACCCCGGUAGUCCUAGCAGUAAACGAUGGCCACUAGGUGUGGGGGGUGUUGACCCCUUCCGUGCCGAAGCUAACGCAUUAAGUGGCCCGCCUGGGGAGUACGGUCGCAAGACUAAA